rnacentral:misc_RNA from 1 species
AAAAGGGUAAAUUUCCUUUUUGAAAGGGGAAUGGUUUGUAAUGAAUAGAAAGAGCUUGUAAUGUAAUACACAACCAAAAAAGUAAAAGAUGAACACCCUUUGAUGGGACACCACUCAUUGUACUGUUGCUUAGGGCUUUUUUGUUUUUCUCAAGCUUGGUUGUUUCGUUCUUGGAGAUAUGGAAUUCAUGAAUUUAUCUCUAAUUGCUUUAUUAAG